rnacentral:lncRNA from 1 species
CCCCCCGCCCUCCGGUGCCGCCUGAUUGGUGUCUCCCAGCGCCUGGCCUUUUAAGGGCUGCCAGCCGGUCAAUCUAAAGUGAUGAGGCCCCGGGCAGGUGCAAGUCCCCCUGCAAUGGAUACUUUUACCAGCCAAUCGUCUGUGAGCCUGGCCGGUUCCCAAAAAAUCCGAGAACCAAUCAACUGGGAGUACUGGGAUGGCGCUGGGGUGGAGGGGAGAGACGGCGUCGGCGGUGGCCGGGGAUGGCCUUUUAAGGGCUGCCAGCCGGUCAAUCUAAAGUGAUGAGGCCCCGGGCAGGUGCAAGUCCCCCUGCAAUGGAUACUUUUACCAGCCAAUCGUCUGUGAGCCUGGCCGGUUCCCAAAAAAUCCGAGAACCAAUCAACUGGGAGUACUGGGAUGGCGCUGGGGUGGAGGGGAGAGACGGCGUCGGCGGUGGCCGGGGAACGGGCUGAGCCGAGGGAAAGUGGCAAUUCAUUCGGGACUCGCUGUGCCGUGGAAGCGGCCGCAUGCCCGAGCUACUCUUGCCGCUCUCGCGCAUAAGUUGCCGCGACUAGGCGCGCUGGUACGGUUAGGGCCCCCCCGGGUGGUCGUCAGAAUGGUGAUCAAAGUGUUUGUAGCGACGUCCUCGGGCUCUACAGCGGAUUUUGACUCCUUUUUCUCUGCAAAAGAAGAAAAUAUUAUUUAUUCAUUCCUAGGCCUUGCUCCUCCACCAGGAUCAACGGUAUGUAUUUCAACCUUUUAGGACUUACUCAUCUUAAUAAUUAUUAAAUUCAUUACUAAAUUAAGCAACAAAGAUUGUUAUGCGGCUUAAAAGGAAGAAAAAGAGGACCAUUUCAGCUUUGCACCAGACAAGCAGUGUCUUUUGACAUCUUAAAGAUAUCCAGGUUUUAUUGGGCCUUAGUUUUUGUGGUCUGCAAUCCACAAAAUAUUAGGCCAAAUGCCAGUUUUUGAGAUGCCAUAGGUUUCUUUGUCAUUUUCAUUGCAACAGACUAAAAGCUUGAUCACACCUGGCAAAAGAAC